rnacentral:rRNA from 1 species
UGGGGAAUCUUGGACAAUGGGCGCAGGCCUGAUCCAGCCAUGCCGCGUGAGUGAAGAAGGCCUUCGGGUUGUAAAGCUCUUUUACCAGGGACGAUAAUGACGGUACCUGGAGAAUAAGCCCCGGCAAACUUCGUGCCAGCAGCCGCGGUAAUACGAACUGUGCGAACGUUACUCGGAAUCACUGGGCUUACAGGGUGCGUAGGUGGCUUGAUAAGCAGGGUGUGAAAUCCCUCGGCUCAACCGAGGAACUGCGCUCUGAACUGUCGAGCUAGAGUAUGCUAGAGGUGAAUGGAACAUCCAGUGGAGCGGUGAAAUGCGUAGAUAUCUACUGGAAUGCCGAUGGGGAAGCCGUCCGGCUGGGCCUGUCCUGACGCUGAGGCACGAAAGCGUGGGGAGCAAACAGGAUUAGAUACCCAGGUAGUCCCUGAGCGGGCUGGCAAGGCGCAU